rnacentral:rRNA from 1 species
ACUAUCGUUAACUGAAUACAUAGGUUAACGAGGCGAACCGGGGGAACUGAAACAUCUAAGUACCCCGAGGAAAAGAAAUCAACCGAGAUUCCCCCAGUAGCGGCGAGCGAACGGGGAGCAGCCCAGAGUCUGAAUCAGCUUGUGUGUUAGUGGAACGGUCUGGAAAGUCCGACGGUACAGGGUGAUAGUCCCGUACACCAAAAUGCACAGGCUGUGAACUCGAAGAGUAGGGCGGGACACGUGGUAUCCUGUCUGAAUAUGGGGGGACCAUCCUCCAAGGCUAAAUACUCCUGACUGACCGAUAGUGAACCAGUACCGUGAGGGAAAGGCGAAAAGAACCCCGGCGAGGGGAGUGAAAAAGAACCUGAAACCGUGUACGUACAAGCAGUGGGAGCACCUUCGGGUGUGACUGCGUACCUUUUGUAUAAUGGGUCAGCGACUUAUAUUCUGUAGCAAGGUUAACCGUAUAGGGGAGCCGCAGGGAAACCGAGUCUUAACUGGGCGUUAAGUUGCAGGGUAUAGACCCGAAACCCGGUGAUCUAGCCAUGGGCAGGUUGAAGGUUGGGUAACACUAACUGGAGGACCGAACCGACUAAUGUUGAAAAAUUAGCGGAUGACUUGUGGCUGGGGGUGAAAGGCCAAUCAAACCGGGAGAUAGCUGGUUCUCCCCGAAAGCUAUUUAGGUAGCGCCUCGUGAACUCAUCUUCGGGGGUAGAGCACUGUUUCGGCUAGGGGGUCAUCCCGACUUACCAACCCGAUGCAAACUACGAAUACCGAAGAAUGUUAUCACGGGAGACACACGGCGGGUGCUAACGUCCGUCGUGAAGAGGGAAACAACCCAGACCGCCAGCUAAGGUCCCAAAGUCAUGGUUAAGUGGGAAACGAUGUGGGAAGGCACAGACAGCCAGGAUGUUGGCUUAGAAGCAGCCAUCAUUUAAAGAAAGCGUAAUAGCUCACUGGUCGAGUCGGCCUGCGCGGAAGAUGUAACGGGGCUAAACCAUGCACCGAAGCUGCGGCAGCGACACUAUGUGUUGUUGGGUAGGGGAGCGUUCUGUAAGCCUGCGAAGGUGACCUGUGAGGGUUGCUGGAGGUAUCAGAAGUGCGAAUGCUGACAUAAGUAACGAUAAAGCGGGUGAAAAGCCCGCUCGCCGGAAGACCAAGGGUUCCUGUCCAACGUUAAUCGGGGCAGGGUGAGUCGACCCCUAAGGCGAGGCCGAAAGGCGUAGUCGAUGGGAAACAGGUUAAUAUUCCUGUACUUGGUGUUACUGCGAAGGGGGGACGGAGAAGGCUAUGUUAGCCGGGCGACGGUUGUCCCGGUUUAAGCAUGUAGGCUGAUUGUCCAGGCAAAUCCGGAUAAUCAAGGCUGAGGUGUGAUGACGAGGCACUACGGUGCUGAAGUAACAAAUGCCCUGCUUCCAGGAAAAGCCUCUAAGCAUCAGGUAACAUCAAAUCGUACCCCAAACCGACACAGGUGGUCAGGUAGAGAAUACCAAGGCGCUUGAGAGAACUCGGGUGAAGGAACUAGGCAAAAUGGUGCCGUAACUUCGGGAGAAGGCACGCUGGUGUGUAGGUGAAGCCCCUGCGGGUGGAGCUGAGACCAGUCGAAGAUACCAGCUGGCUGCAACUGUUUAUUAAAAACACAGCACUGUGCAAACACGAAAGUGGACGUAUACGGUGUGACGCCUGCCCGGUGCCGGAAGGUUAAUUGAUGGGGUUAUCCGUAAGGAGAAGCUCUUGAUCGAAGCCCCGGUAAACGGCGGCCGUAACUAUAACGGUCCUAAGGUAGCGAAAUUCCUUGUCGGGUAAGUUCCGACCUGCACGAAUGGCGUAAUGAUGGCCAGGCUGUCUCCACCCGAGACUCAGUGAAAUUGAACUCGCUGUGAAGAUGCAGUGUACCCGCGGCAAGACGGAAAGACCCCGUGAACCUUUACUAUAGCUUGACACUGAACAUUGAGCCUUGAUGUGUAGGAUAGGUGGGAGGCUUUGAAGCGUGGACGCCAGUCUGCGUGGAGCCAACCUUGAAAUACCACCCUUUAAUGUUUGAUGUUCUAACGUUGGCCCCUGACCGGGGUUGCGGACAGUGUCUGGUGGGUAGUUUGACUGGGGCGGUCUCCUCCCAAAGCGUAACGGAGGAGCACGAAGGUUAGCUAAUCCUGGUCGGACAUCAGGAGGUUAGUGCAAUGGCAUAAGCUAGCUUGACUGCGAGCGUGACGGCGCGAGCAGGUGCGAAAGCAGGUCAUAGUGAUCCGGUGGUUCUGAAUGGAAGGGCCAUCGCUCAACGGAUAAAAGGUACUCCGGGGAUAACAGGCUGAUACCGCCCAAGAGUUCAUAUCGACGGCGGUGUUUGGCACCUCGAUGUCGGCUCAUCACAUCCUGGGGCUGAAGUAGGUCCCAAGGGUAUGGCUGUUCGCCAUUUAAAGUGGUACGCGAGCUGGGUUUAGAACGUCGUGAGACAGUUCGGUCCCUAUCUGCCGUGGGCGCUGGAGAAUUGAGGGGGGCUGCUCCUAGUACGAGAGGACCGGAGUGGACGCAUCACUGGUGUUCGGGUUGUCAUGCCAAUGGCACUGCCCGGUAGCUAAAUGCGGAAGAGAUAAGUGCUGAAAGCAUCUAAGCACGAAACUUGC